rnacentral:tRNA from 1 species
GAGGAUGUAGCUCAGUGGUAGAGCACGUGCUCAGCAUGCACGAGGUCCUGGGUUUCAUCCCCAGUACCUCCA